UACGGAAGGGGCAAGCGUUGUUCGGAAUCAUUGGGCGUAAAGGGCGCGUAGGUGGUUCUGUAUGUCUACCGUGAAAGCGUACGGCUCAACCGUAUUUUGUCGGUGGAAACUGCAGGACUUGAGGCUGGGAGGGGCUGGUGGAAUUCCCUGUGUAGCGGUGAAAUGCGUAGAGAUGGGGGAGAACACUCGUGGCGAAGGCGGCCAGCUAGACCAGUUCUGACACUGAGGCGCGAAAGCAUGGGGAGCGAACAGG
rnacentral:rRNA from 1 species